rnacentral:rRNA from 1 species
AGAGUUUGAUCCUGGCUCAGAACGAACGCUGGCGGCAGGCCUAACACAUGCAAGUCGAGCGCGAAAGCUCCUCCGGGAGCGAGUAGAGCGGCGAACGGGUGAGUAACACGUGAGUAACCUGGCUCGAGGUCCGGGAUAACUCUCCGAAAGGGGGGCUAAUACCGGGGAAGACCACGCGACUGCGGUCGAGUGGGAAAAGAGGGGGAUCUCUCCAGAGACCUCUCGCCACGAGAUGGGCUCGCGGCCCAUUAGGUAGUUGGUGAGGUAACGGCUCACCAAGCCGAAGAUGGGUAGCUGGUCUGAGAGGGCGAUCAGCCACACUGGAACUGAGACACGGUCCAGACUCCUACGGGAGGCAGCAGUGGGGAAUCUUGCGCAAUGGGCGAAAGCCUGACGCAGCCAUGCCGCGUGAGCGAUGAAGGCCCGUGGGUCGUAAAGCUCUGUCCAGGGGGACGAACAUGCUGCGGUCAAACAGGCCGCAGAGCUGACGGUACCCCUGAAGAAAGCACCGGCUAACUCCGUGCCAGCAGCCGCGGUAAUACGGAGGGUGCGAGCGUUGUUCGGAAUUACUGGGCGUAAAGCGCAUGUAGGCGGCGUCGUAAGUCGGGUGUGAAAGCCCUGGGUUCAACCCAGGAACUGCGCCCGAUACUGC